UGAGGUAACUGGAGGGAUGGCAGGGGAAUGGAAAACAAUACAGAGAUACAGCAAAUAAAAGCUUCCAGAACACAGAAAAAUCUCAAGAAAGCAACUCUCCCCAUCUUUGAUCAUUUAUCAAUUAUUCAGUCAGAGUCUAAAAUGUUCAAGGCUCCACACUUAAGAGAAUUCAAAGGCUCCAAAAGGAAGAACCUGGACCUCUUCAGGGCAAAGAUGUUAGCUACCACCUUAAAUAAGCCUGUAUCUUCAGCCCCAAAAUGAGCCAUCAGACAGGACCAUGUGCAUGGCAGGAUGCAGGCUUGUUAUCUCAGGUGAUUUCCCUGGCAUUGCACCUGGGCUGGGGCAGAGAGGAGCGUGGCCCAUGACAGCAUCACGCGAUACAAAAAUCCAGAAAAAUGGCCUCUAAGGCCGGCUGUGUGAUGCAGGAGGAGAACAGGUUCACACCAGGAAAGACGUGGGCAGGUG
rnacentral:lncRNA from 1 species